UACGUAGGGUGCAAGCGUUAAUCGGAAUUACUGGGCGUAAAGCGUGCGCAGGCGGCUAUGCAAGACAGAUGUGAAAUCCCCGGGCUCAACCUGGGGACUGCAUUUGUGACUGCAUGGCUAGAGUACGGUAGAGGGGGAUGGAAUUCCGCGUGUAGCAGUGAAAUGCGUAGAUAUGCGGAGGAACACCGAUGGCGAAGGCAAUCCCCUGGACCUGUACUGACGCUCAUGCACGAAAGCGUGGGGAGCAAACAGG
rnacentral:rRNA from 1 species